rnacentral:tRNA from 1 species
GUGGUUAUAGCUCAGUGGUAGAGCAUUUGACUACAGUUCAAGAGGGCCCAGUUCAAAUUUGAGGGGCCCCU